ensembl:lncRNA
AGGUAAAUAUCAGUCUUGGCCACUUUCAACUUGACGUCUUCUUGAACCAGGGCCUGCUGCUUGAAUGUAGAAUGAAUAUCAGCAGUUCUUUCUAGCUUCAAAAUACAGAUCUAUGAAGGCCUUGAAAGACUUGAUAAUCGUAACCCGAGACAAAGCCAAGAAGGAGCCUCGUGACUAAAAGAAGCUGCAGAGGUGCUUGGUCAGCAAAGAUCUCAAUGCAGAGGGAGUGAAAACUCCAGAACCUGCAGUCUGUGUGAGAGGGUGCACUUCAAGACCCAGCACUGCUGGAGGGAGAGAGAGACCACAGGCUGCUGCAGAAUCACCCUGGCCAAAACCCAAGCUCGUUGACCCAGUUCCACCAACCUCCAUGGCCUGAUCCCUCCUUCACUCCUCUACAAGAUCUUCAUUUAUCCGGUCGUACGGUCAGCAAGAGUUCAUGGGAGUUACCCGCAGCAAGCUGCAGUGGAUCCCUCAGGUGUGAGCACUGUGGUGCUUACACUCCGCUGCAGUGGCCAGCAGUACCAGAGGGUGCAGUGAGACGAGGGUACCACAGAGGAGAGGAGAGCACAGCUGCAGGGACCCAAGCAGGGACUCGCCUGGUCCUGGAGGUCUUCCCAUGGCCUCCUUGAGAAGACUGUGGCAUGUCACUUGAGCCUUGCCUCAUUGCCCUGUGUAUAAGAGAUGCUCUGCAAAGGCCAGCUCACAUGUAGCCCAUGGAAAUCAUCACACACCCAGGUAGAGCCCACUGGUCCCCUCUAGCUUCUGAACUACUCUAUUGGUCAUUCAACAAAUCUAGGUUUCCCAUUGAACGAGCCAGAGACUGUCCUGGCUCUGAGACCCAGCAGAGCACAACUGAUUCCCUGCUGCCUGGAGCUUACAUUCUAAUGGAAGGAGGCAGAAAAUAUAAAGUAAGCAAAAAUCUGUAUAUGAUUGCUAGAUGGUGGUGAACUUUAUAUUAAAUAUAAAUACAGCAGUUCACUGUACACAGAGGUUUCUCUUCUGCCUGGUCCUGUAGUCGUUCAGUCCCAAGUAAACACACAGAGACUUCUAUUCAUUAUAAACUGUUUGGCCAAUGGCUCAGGCUUCUUACUGGCUAGCUCUCUCUUAAUUAUUAACCCAAUUCUAUUAAUCUGUGUACCUCCACAUGGUCUUGGCUUACCGGUGAUGCCCGGCCCUCCUGCUCCCUUCAGCAGCUACAUGGUGUCUCCCUCUGGUGGCGGCUUCCCUGCCUCUCCUCUUCCCAGAAUUCUCCUAGUGUGGUAGCCCCACCUGUACUUCCUGUCUGGCUACUGACCAAUCAGCGUUGAUUCAUCAGCCGAGAAGAGAAACUUGUAUUCGCAGCUACAGAAGGACACCCCCUCAGUGCACAGCAGAGAGCAGCUGACAUUUUAGGUGGAGAGAAGGCUCCCCCACUAAGGGACAUCAAACAUGCAGAUGUAUAAAGCACAGAAGACCAAGGAAUGUGACUGUCAAGGUCAUGACACCAGGAGGGUGUUUGCAGUUAGCCUUCCUGUGGUCUCCUUGUGAAGGUGGAAGGAGCUUCACCGUCACCCUGACAGCUUAGGACCCCAGCACACGCACACAGCUCUGGGUGGAUCUUGGAGCGCACUUCCAGAGGGGUUUCACUGAGGGGAUGGCAGGGGCUGAAUUAGAAGAAGGUGAAAGAGCACCAGCAUCCCUCCUCUGCUUCCCGACUAUGGAAGCAGGGUGGCCAGCCGCCUCAUGCUCCUGCUGCCACCCCCACCCCAACCACAUGGGCCACACCCGCCAUUAUUUCACAGGGUCUAGAAGGCUGCAUUCCUCCCAUGGUUCUGUGGGGUUGCUGGAGGCCAAGCACUCUGCCUGUGGUCUCUUGGAUGUUGCUGUCGUUACCCUCACUCUCCAGGUCUCGGCUUCUUUAUGUGGCUCUCAAGUGUCAGCCCUGUGCACUGUGAAGAGGGACCCUCCAGGCUCUGCUGCAGGACGCUCCUGCACCUUCCUUGCCUGAUAGGAAAAGAUCGUGUCCGUGCCCGGGACCACUGUUCCUCCCGGAUGACCCCACCCACCCAACUUCAUGUUUUCUCCUUCAACAAAACCAACCAACAAAAAACCAAGAAACCUUGGGGGGCGGAGAGG